rnacentral:rRNA from 1 species
UACGUAGGGGGCUAGCGUUGUCCGGAAUCAUUGGGCGUAAAGAGCGUGUAGGCGGUCCGGUAAGUCCGCUGUGAAAGUCGGGGGCUCAACCCUCGAAUGCCGGUGGAUACUGUCGGGCUAGAGUGCGGAAGAGGCGAGUGGAAUUCCUGGUGUAGCGGUGAAAUGCGUAGAUAUCAGGAGGAACACCGAUGGCGAAGGCAGGUCUCUGGGCUGACACUGACGCUCAUGCACGAAAGCGUGGGGAGCAAACAGG